rnacentral:rRNA from 1 species
UGCAGUCGAGGGGCAGCAUUUCAGUUUGCUUGCAAACUGGAGAUGGCGACCGGCGCACGGGUGAGUAACACGCUAUCCAACCUGCCGAUAACUCGGGGAUAGCCUUUCGAAAGAAAGAUUAAUACCCGAUGGUAUAAUCAGACCGCAUGGUCUUNUUAUUAAAGAAUUUCGGUUAUCGAUGGGGAUGCGUUCCAUUAGGCAGUUGGUGAGGUAACGGCUCACCAAACCUUCGAUGGAUAGGGGUUCUGAGAGGAAGGUCCCCCACAUUGGAACUGAGACACGGUCCAAACUCNUACGGGAGGCAGCAGUGAGGAAUAUUGGUCAAUGGGCGCAGGCCUGAACCAGCCAAGUAGCGUGAAGGAUGACUGCCCUAUGGGUUGUAAACUUCUUUUAUAUGGGAAUAAAGUUUUCCACGUGUGGAAUUUUGUAUGUACCAUAUGAAUAAGGAUCGGCUAACUCCGUGCCAGCAGCCGCGGUAAUACGGAGGAUCCGAGCGUUAUCCGGAUUUUAUUGGGUUUAAAGGGAGCGUAGGUGGACAGUUAAGUCAGUUGUGAAAGUUUGCGGCUCAACCGUAAAAUUGCAGUUGAUACUGGCUGUCUUGAGUACAGUAGAGGUGGGCGGAAUUCGUGGUGUAGCGGUGAAAUGCUUAGAUAUCACGAAGAACUCCGAUUGCGAAGGCAGCUCACUGGACUGCAACUGACACUGAUGCUCGAAAGUGUGGGUAUCAAACAGGAUUAGAUACCCUGGUAGUCCACACAGUAAACGAUGAAUACUCGCUGUUUGCGAUAUACAGUAAGCGGCCAAGCGAAAGCAUUAAGUAUUCCACCUGGGGAGUACGCCGGCAACGGUGAAACUCAAAGGAAUUGACGGGGGCCCGCACAAGCGGAGGAACAUGUGGUUUAAUUCGAUGAUACGCGAGGAACCUUACCCGGGCUUAAAUUGCAUUUUGAAUAUUUUGGAAACAGGNUAGCCGNAAGGCAAAUGUGAAGGUGCUGCAUGGUUGUCGUCAGCUCGUGCCGUGAGGUGUCGGCUUAAGUGCCAUAACGAGCGCAACCCUUAUCUUUAGUUACUAACAGGUCAUGCUGAGGACUCUAGAGAGACUGCCGUCGUAAGAUGUGAGGAAGGUGGGGAUGACGUCAAAUCAGCACGGCCCUUACGUCCGGGGCUACACACGUGUUACAAUGGGGGGUACAGAAGGCAGCUACCUGGUGACAGGAUGCUAAUCCCAAAAGCCUCUCUCAGUUCGGAUCGAAGUCUGCAACCCGACUUCGUGAAGCUGGAUUCGCUAGUAAUCGCGCAUCAGCCAUGGCGCGGUGAAUACGUUCCCGGGCCUUGUACACACCGCCCGUCAAGCCAUGAAAGCCGGGGGUACCUGAAGUACGUAACCGCAAGGAGCUCCUAGGAAAC